AAGGAAGAAGAAAAAUUGUCUGCUUGCAGAUGAACCGCUCUUCUGUAUACAAAGCUCUAAAGACUCCACUAAACAAACUUCAAGAACAAAUGAGUUCAGUAAAGCGGCAGGAUACGACAUUAACAAAAAUCGGCCGCAUUUCUGUACACUAACAAUGAACUAUCUAAAAAAUUAAGAAAAAGAUCCUGUUUACAAUAGUAUCGAGAAGAAUAAAAGAUUUCGGAAUAAAUUUAAUCAAGGAGGCUAAAGAUCUACACACUGGAAACUAUACAACAUUGAAGGAAACUGAGGAAGACGCAAAUAAAUGGAAAGAUACCCCCAUGCCCAUGAAUUGGAAGAAUUGUUAAAUUCUCCAUACUAGGUAAAGCGAUCUAUACAGGUUCAAAGUAAACCCUGAGUGUCCGUCGAUGGAUGAAUGGAUAUGGAAAAUGUGGCAUAUGGAAUAUUAUUUAGGAUGUCCUACCAUUAGAGACUGUAUGGAUGAAACUGGAGGACGUUAUGUAAGUGAAAUAAGUCAAAGACAAAUAGUGUAUGAUCCCACGUAUAUGUGGAAUCUAAAAAAAAGUCAAACUCCUAGUAACAGAGUAGAAUGCUGGUUACCAGGGCUGGGGGUAAGGGAAAUAGGGGGAUGUGAGAGGGCGCAGACUUUCAGUUAUGAGAUCAGUAAGUUCUAGAACGCUAAGGUACAUCAUGGUAACUAGAGUUAAUAAUUAUAUUUGAAGCUUGCUAAGAGAGUAGAUCUCACGUGUCCUCACCACACACCCAAAAAGGUUUAAAGACCGAUUAUGGCAGAGCUACCCUGAUGGGAGCAGGGAGAGAAGUGGACAAAGCCAGGUUGACUUCCUGACGCUGCCGCUUUGGGCAGGUGGGUUCUGAGCCCCGGUGCUAGAUGGAGGGAUAGCAUCUUGCCUACCCCCUGGGGCUGAGACCAGGAUUAAACCUAUACAGGGUAUCUGUAUGAACUCAAAAUGUAAAAGGCAAAUUUGAGCAGCAUCUCUAGAGAAGAAAAGAUACACCAAAGCACUCACUGCUUUCAGCUGUUUUAUUGCUAAACUAUCACGAUAUAAGCCGUAUAAAAAUACUUUACAUAUAGCAAAAAUAAACUACAUUAAACUGGAGAUUAAAAACAUUUUGCAUAGGAAUGUGAUGUAUUCAAACUUCCUUAACAGUCAAGAUUUUUAAAACCUAAGCCUUCCAGCACCACCCUGUUGGAGAGAAUUCUGUUUGUUGGAGAACUACUUACGGCAUGGUCAACAUUUUCUCCCCUCUGAGGGCUGUAGAGGCAAUGGGGGUAAGGGAGGUUCUUUGACAAGGUGCUCAGGGUCUAAACUUGUCCCAAGGGCAGUGCCGAAAGCCCGUGCCCUAAUGGAAAAUGUAUCCUUUGCUUCCGAUGCAUCCGACCCGGGACGGGGCAGGUGUUUGGGCUGCCGACAGCUGCAUGAAGGCAGGGUGUUAAACGUUUUUUCCAACACCCAACAUCCCAUCUCCUUUUCAGAGGGGCUCGCUUAGGGACCAUCUCCAGCUCACCAAUCACAGAAACGUUUGUUUUUAAACAAACUGAGUUAAGAUGGUGACGUUGGCUAUAACUGAAGGUACUCCCGACAGCGUAGGGAAACUGACGUUUGCAAUCACAGUCCUUUGUGACACUUCUUAAGCAUUUAGCUGGAAUGCAGGAAAACCCGUGCAUUGGCUGGUUUGGCUCCAUGAGGUUUAAGGCCUAAGCCCUGGGCUUGGAAGACUGGCGGUUAGGAUGUGUUGGGUACCUGCUAAAGGGUCAUCCCUCCAAAAAAAAAAAAAAAAAAUGGAUGCCGGACCUUGUCAGGAAUGUCCCAACCCCCAUGCCUCCUGUAAACGUGAACAAAAUUGUUAGCCGGACCUCUGACGGUCUUUCAAUUGUGA